rnacentral:rRNA from 1 species
UACGGGGGGGGCAAGCGUUGUUCGGAAUUACUGGGCGUAAAGGGCUCGUAGGCGGCCAACUAAGUCAGACGUGAAAUCCCCAGGCUCAACCUGGGAACUGCGUCUGAUACUGGAUGGCUUGAAUCCGGGAGAGGGAUGCAGAAUUCCAGGUGUAGCGGUGAAAUGCGUAGAUAUCGGGAGGAACACCGGUGGCGAAGGCGGUUCUCUGGGCCUUACCUGACGCUGAGGAGCGAAAGCGUGGGGAGCGAACAGG